UACGUAGGCAGCAAGCGUUGUUCGGAAUUACUGGGCGUAAAGAGUGUGUAGGCGGUGCUCUAAGUUUGUCGUGAAAUCUCCCGGCUUAACUGGGAGGGUGCGGCGAAAACUGGAGUGCUAGAGGGUGGGAGAGGAAAGCGGAAUUCCUGGUGUAGUGGUGAAAUGCGUAGAUAUCGGGAGGAACACCAGUGGCGAAGGCGACUUCCUGGCCUGUUCUUGACGCUGAGGCGCGAAAGCUAGGGUAGCAAACGGG
rnacentral:rRNA from 1 species